AGGUCAUUAAGAGGUGAGUACGGAAC
rnacentral:piRNA from 1 species